rnacentral:rRNA from 1 species
AUUGAACGCUGGCGGCAGGCCUAACACAUGCAAGUCGAGCGGGGUUUUCGGACCUAGCGGCGGACGGGUGAGUAAUGCGUAGGAAGCUACCCGAUAGAGGGGGAUACCAGUUGGAAACGACUGUUAAUACCGCAUAAUGUCUACGGACCAAAGUGUGGGACCUUCGGGCCACAUGCUAUCGGAUGCGCCUACGUGGGAUUAGCUAGUUGGUGGGGUAAUGGCUCACCAAGGCGACGAUCCCUAGCUGGUUUGAGAGGAUGAUCAGCCACACUGGAACUGAGACACGGUCCAGACUCCGACGGGAGACAGCAGUGGGGAAUAUUGGACAAUGGGCGCAAGCCUGAUCCAGCCAUGCCGCGUGUGUGAAGAAGGCCUUCGGGUUGUAAAGCACUUUCAGUAGGGAGGAAGGGUGUUGUGUUAAUAGCACAGCAUUUUGACGUUACCUACAGAAGAAGCACCGGCUAACUCUGUGCCAGCCGCCGCAGUAAGAC